UACGGGGGGGGCAAGCGUUGUUCGGAAUUGCUGGGCGUAAAGGGCUCGUAGGCGGCCAACUAAGUCCGACGUGAAAUCCCAAGGCUUAACCUUGGAACUGCGUCGGAUACUGGAUGGCUUGAAUUCGGGAGAGGGAUGCAGAAUUCCAGGUGUAGCGGUGAAAUGCGUAGAUAUCUGGAGGAAUACCGGUGGCGAAGGCGGCAUCCUGGACCGACAUUGACGCUGAGGAGCGAAAGCUAGGGGAGCAAACGGG
rnacentral:rRNA from 1 species